GACGAACGCUGGCGGCGUGCUUAACACAUGCAAGUCGAACGGAAAGGCCCUGCUUUUGUGGGGUGCUCGAGUGGCGAACGGGUGAGUAACACGUGAGUAACCUGCCCUUGACUUUGGGAUAACUUCAGGAAACUGGGGCUAAUACCGGAUAGGAGCUCCUGCUGCAUGGUGGGGGUUGGAAAGUUUCGGCGGUUGGGGAUGGACUCGCGGCUUAUCAGCUUGUUGGUGGGGUAGUGGCUUACCAAGGCUUUGACGGGUAGCCGGCCUGAGAGGGUGACCGGCGAGACGGGAGCGGAGACACGGUCCAGACUGCUACGGGAGGCAGCAGUAGGGAAUCGUCCGCGAUGGGCGAAAGCCUGACGGAGCAACGCCGCGUGAGUGAGGAAGGUCUUCGGAGCGUAAACCUCUGUUAUUAGGGAAGAACAUAUGUGUAAGGAACUGUGCACAUCUUGAGGGUACCUAAUAAGAAAGCCACGGCUAACUACGUG
rnacentral:rRNA from 1 species